GAGGACGUCCUGGGCUGGGCACCUUUGGGGAGCCCUUUCCAGGUGUGGGGGGCAACGGUGUGGGGGAGAGCCUCCCCCUGCCACCCUUCUUCCCCCAUGCGCCCUCGUGGGUGGUCGCUGUGAGCUGGAGGGAGACAGUGAGGAGCCUGGAGGCUGGUUUUUUUGUUUUGUUUUGUUUGUUUGUUUUUGAGACAGAGUCUCACUCUGAUGCCCAGGCUGCAGUGCAGUGGUGCGAUCUUGCGGCCUUCACCUGCUGGGCUCAAGUGAUCCUUCCACCUCAGUUUCCCCAUGGCCCAGCUGGGACCACAGGUGUGAGUGACCACGCCUGGCUAAUUUUUAAUUUUUUUUUUUUCGUAGAGAUGGAGUCUCAUUAUGUUGCCCAGGCUGGUCUUGAACUGCUGUGCCCAAGUGAUCCGCCCACCCCAGACUCCCAAAGUGCUGGGACUACAGGCAUGAGCUUUCGCGCCCAGCCUGAGCCCUGAAGGCUCUUGGCGGGUGGAGCAGCCACUCCAAAGCCUUACUGGAAGGUAUUUUACUAUGGGAAACUGAGCACAGGCGGAAGCAGGGCCUGGGCUAGGCUCCCUCCGCCCCCGAGUGUGAUCGACGCUCCCUGCUUUCUGCUCUAGUGGCCUGUCUCCCCUGCGGCUUCGAGAGAGAACCCACCCCUCACGUCAUUCCCUGGCGAAGGCUGUUACGAAUCUCUACAAAGUAAAGCCUUUGGAGGGCAUGGUCCAGCACCACUGCUGCCCCACUCAAACUGGCGCAAAGCCCCUGUUAGGAUUCUCGGUUUUUCCCAACGGACUAAGCUACUCCCUUUUCCAGGGGUUUGUUUCCGCAUGGCCUUGGGUUGAUUCCCGCUGUCCACCCUCAUUCCCCCACUUUGAGGGCACAGCCUGGGGAUUGUGCCGGUCCAGCCGGCAGAGCCCCAACCUGGGGAAGCCCACUCGCCCCAGGAGGCUUCCAUCACCAGCGUCCGCCCCCACACCCCCAAAACCGGCUGUGUCUGCCCAAGCUGCCACGGCCAUCCCAGAAUCACACGUGGAUGGCUUCAUUUCCCACCGGGGCCUGGGGGCCAAGGACGCCUAACUCCUGGAGCGGAGAUGGGUUGAGGCCAGAGAGCCCACCUAGGCUGACGGCUCUGGAAACAACACUCAUGCUGAGCUGUGGGGACCAAGGGGGUGCCGGGAGAGAACGUGACGCCGGAAACGGAAACGUCCGUGCAGACCAAGGGGGUGCCAGUAGAGAACGCUGACUCCGGAAACGGCCGUGCAGACCAACGGGGUGCCGGGAGAGAACGCUGACACCGGAAACGGAAACGUCCGUGCAGACCAAGGGGGUGCCAGGAGAGAACGCUGACUCCGGAAACGGCCGUGCAGACCAAGGGGGUGCCGGGAGAGAACGCUGACACCGGAAACGGAAACGUCCGUGCGGACCAAGGGGGUGCCAGGAGAGAACGCUGACUCCGGAAACGGCCGUGCAGACCAACGGGGUGCCGGGAGAGAACGCUGACACCGGAAACGUCCAGGCUGUCUGGGGAGGUGAGCUGCUUCACAGGAAGGGUCCCGCAGUGGCCAUGACCCCAGUGGCCAUGUGGCUGAGGCCCUGGGCAGUGGCUUCGUGACUGAAAGGCCCUGAACCCACCCCGAGGCCCCACAGCUUUUUCUCCACCUCAGAGACUUUCUGGGGCUCAGUCUUGCUGCGGCCCUUGUGGCAUUUGGCAAGCAGUGGGUGGACCAUGAGUGAGUUAGGAGGCCGAACUGCCCACCUCUGCAAUGGAUUCCCAGGAGAGCAAACACGGGACCCGCUCCUACAGGCCUCAGCCGCCCUCUGGAAUGAGGUGAGAAGACCCUCCGUCACAGGCUGCCCUGAAGAAGGGUGCAGGAGCCCCACACAGCCUGGACCCCAGGGAGCAGAGUCGGAAUCCAGACAGCAGGAGAGGAGGGCUCCACACACUAGAUUUAUGUCUACAGCUUCAACACUGGCUCAGCCUGGGGCUUAUGGUGGAGCAGGAGACUGGGGAUGGAGGACCAGCACCAGCAGAGAAAAUGGAGGACAGGGCAGGCCACUUGGCCCCAAGAGACACACAGCAGCUGGAGCAGGUUUACAAACUAGAUCUGGGUGACACAACCAUCCUUUUUAAAGGUUUUAACGGAAUCACAGUGACAUUUUGAUCCCAUUUAUGAACCGGGAAGCCAGGCUCACCAGCCCACUGCACCAUUUAAUGUCAGCAAAUAAAAUUCAGUCAAUAA